rnacentral:tRNA from 1 species
AAAAUCUUAAGUUAAGUAAACUAUAAACCUUCAAAGUUUAAAUUAAGAAAAUUUCUUAGAUUUUA